GCUGGGUGUGGUGGUGGGCGCCUGUAAUCCCAGCUACUUGGGAGGCUGAGACAGGAGAAUCGCUUGAACCCAGGAGGCGGAGGUUGCAGUGAGCUGAGAUUGCGCCAUUGCACUCCAGCCUGGGUGACAGAGCGAGACUCUGUCUCAA
rnacentral:SRP_RNA from 1 species